rnacentral:rRNA from 1 species
GACGAACGCUGACGGUGUGCUUUAGACAUGCAAGUCGAACGCGAAAGCCCUUCGGGUUAGUAGAGUGGCGAACGGGUGAGUAACACGUGGGCAAUCUGCCCCUCGCAGGGGGACAACCGGAGGAAACUCCGGCUAAUACCCCGUACGCUUGCUGGACCGCAUGGUCCGGCAAGGAAAGGUAGCUUCGGCCAUCCGGCGAGGGAUGAGCCCGCGGUGCAUUAGCUAGUUGGUGAGGUAACGGCUCACCAAGGCAACGAUGCAUAGCUGGUCUGAGAGGAUGAUCAGCCACACUGGGACUGAGACACGGCCCAGACUCCUACGGGGAGCAGCAGUCGGGAAUCUUGCGCAAUGGGCGAAAGCCUGACGCAGCAACACCGUGUGAGCGAC